rnacentral:rRNA from 1 species
GAACUUGUGCGAACGUUAUUCGGAAUCACUGGGCUUAAAGGGUGCGUAGGCGGUUAUCUAAGUCACGUGUGAAAUCUUCCGGCUCAACCGGAAAACUGCGCGUGAUACUGGAUGACUUGAGUGAGGUAGGGGUGUGUGGAACUUCCGGUGGAGCGGUGAAAUGUGUAGAGAUCGGAAGGAACGCCAGCAGCGAAAGCGGCACACUGGGCCUUUUCUGACGCUGAGGCACGAAAGCUAGGGGAGUGAACGGGAUUAGAUACCCCGGUAAUCCUAGCCGUAAACACUGAACACUGGAGGAAGGGGGUUUCGGCCUUCUUUCUCGUAGCGAAAGCGUUAAGUGUUCCGCCUGGGGAGUAUGGUCGCAAGGCUG